AGGCCCCGGGCAGGGGUGGGGGAGGGGCCCUGGAGCAGGGCCGGGGAAUGUCUCCGGCCGCCCCUCGGCUCCAGCUCCCGGACCCUUUCGUCGGACGCUCGCGGCCAGCGUACUCGGGGCCGCGCGCAAACCCUGCCCCAUCCCGGGAGCUGCGCAGUGCGUUCACGCCCACCCAGCUCCGGAGGCAGCCGCCCCGCGUGCGUCUCUGGGAGCCGGGUUCCGGGACAGGGGCGCCGGCGGGUGUCCCGUGCCCUCCGCGCCCCCGGCCCGCGCGCGGUGGCCGGCCGAGCGGGGCUUUGUGACGUCAGGCGGCCGGCGGCGUCACGCGCGGGCUGACCCGGCGGCGGCGGCGGCGGCGGCGGCGGCGGCGGCGGCGGCGGCGGGCGGGGCGGCCGGGACGCGGGAGCAUGGAGCCGCGCGCCGGCUGCCGGCUGCCCGUGCGGGUGGAGCAGGUCGUCAAUGGCGCGCUGCUGGUCACUGUGAGCUGCGGGCAGCGCAGCUUCGCCGGGAUCCUGCUGGACUGCACGAAAAAGUCCGGCCUCUUCGGCCUGCCCCCCUCCACUCCACUGCCCCAGGCCGAGGACACCCCUGUCAAUGGCUGCCAGGGCCCAGCCGCCACAGAGGGGGACCCAGAGGCAAUGCAGCUGGGAACAGGCCCCCCGCCGCCUUCCUGCCCUGAGCCGCCCCCGCCCCUGGUGCCGCCGCUGCCCGCUGGAAGCCUGCCCCCCUUCCCGCCAUAUUUUGAAGGCGCCCCCUUCCCGCCCCCACUCUGGCUGAGGAACACCUACCAGCAGUGGGUGCCGCAGCCACCACCCCGGACAAUCAAGAGGACAAAGAGGCGCCUGUCCCGCAACCGUGACCCUGGCCGGCUGGCCCUGAGCCCCAUCUGCCUGCGGCCGCGGCGGGUCCUCUGCGAGAAGUGCAAGAGCACCCUGAGCCCCCCGGAGGCUGGCCCCGCGCCCCCGGCCACCCCCCGGCCUCGCAGGAGGCUGGGCAGUGGCUCCGACCCAGACAGGGAGCUCCGCAAACACGAGGACCCAGAUGGCGGGGGUGAAACCGCGGCCUCGGCCACCACCAGGAGAAGCAAGAGGGAGAGGCGGGAGGAGGACCAGGCUCGGGUCCCACGGAGCCCGGCCAUCAAGAUCUCCUACAGCACACCUCAGGGCAAGGGCGAGGUGGUGGAGAUCCCGUCCCGCGUGCACGGCUCCCUGGAGCCCUUCUGCCCCCCGCAGGCCCUGCACGGCGCCCCGGACCCCGAGGCGGCUCGGGACAGGCCACCUGACGGGCCCUCCGCCUCCAUCCCGAAGCUGAAGCUGACACGGCCCAUGCCCCCCAGUGCUGACCUGCCGCCCCCCAAGAUCCGCCUGAAGCCCCACCGCCUCGGCGCUGGUGAGCAGGAGCCUGUCUAUAGGGCUGAGCUGGUGGAGGAGCUCAACGACCGUGGGCAAGGUGCCCAGGCCAGCUCCCCUGCCCACCCUGCCUCUGGCUCUGCCCACGGUGCCCUGGCGGACUUGUCUUCGGGAAGUUCUGGGGAGGAUGACGACUUCAAAACGUGUCCCCAGGGUAAACACGGGCGGGACAGCCUGGCCUUUCUCGCCAGCUGCUCUGGGAGCAGGACAGACUACGCCCGGGAGUCUCUGUGGAGCAGCGACAGCCUGGACGAGUCCAAAUCGUCCAGCUCAGAAGUCACAUCGCCAGACACAUGUGACCUCUCCUCUGGCGAUGGUGUGUCCGUGCCGUCCACCUCCAAGCGCGCGGGGCAGACGGUUCCGCCCCUGACGGUCAGGCUGCACACGCAGAGCAUCUCCAAGUGCGUGACCGAGGAUGGAAGGACCGUGGCCGUAGGGGACAUCGUGUGGGGUAAGAUUCAUGGUUUCCCUUGGUGGCCAGCACGUGUCCUUGACAUCAAUCUUAGCCAGAAGGAGGACGGGGAGCCCUCUUGGCAAGAAGCGAAAGUCUCGUGGUUUGGUUCUCCAACGACAUCAUUCUUGUCCAUUUCCAAACUCUCCCCUUUCUCUGAAUUUUUCAAACUGAGAUUUAACCGUAAGAAGAAGGGGAUGUAUCGGAAAGCUAUAACAGAGGCCGCCAAUGCCGCGCGACACGUGGCCCCGGAAAUCAGGGAGCUCUUAACCCAGUUUGAAACAUGACUGGGGCUCCCUGGCCAGGUCACCGACGAUGAGGGCAUGGCUGUUCUCCUGGAGCUUCCGACUUCGGGGGUGUCCUCCAUGCCCCCCAUUCCGUCCGAGGGGCCCUGCGUGCCUUCUGGCCGGCUGCGUGCAGAACCACGCCAGGCCCGCGGUGGUCAGCCUGGCGCCGGGCUUCCUGGGAGGAGCAGCGUUAUUGAGAAGAGAGGGAGCUGUGUGUCCACUGGUACCUGUGCCCCCCGAGCUCGGCUGCCCUGUUGAAGGGACCCCGCCCAUGUUGAGAUCUGCCCCCCAAGAGACGGCCACCUGUUCCCAGCGCUGCUGCUCAGGGCGGCAGUGGGUUCCGCCUCCCUCGGGCCCUGUAGGUGACACCGACGUCCCCAGUGGGGCAACAUCUCUGCAAACGGUUUGAUUUCAUGGUGCUCACACCCUGCUUGGCUGUGUGGUCGUCAUUCAUCCCGGGAUCUGGGAGGUCCUAGGGGUUUCGACAAAUGUGCGAUGACGUGUCUCGGCCACCUCAGCAUCACAGGCUGAGCGUCACUGCCCUGGACACCCCCGGACACCGGCUCAUUGAUGUUCUGAGUGAGCAAAGACACGGGGGAUUGCGAAGGACACCAGUUAUCUAUCAUAAUAAAAGGGUAAUAUGCUAAUUAGACCGAAUGUCCUUCCAGGCGUCAUUCCGGACGCCCUUCUGGACGAAGCCGGGGCAGGAGCAAAGCCCAGGUCCUGGGUGCCUAGCGGCAGCCGCUGGAGGGAAGCAGCCCGGUGGCUGGAGCGAAGCCUGGGUCCCGGGUGCCAGAGGGAAGCUGGUGCCAGCAGCCUGGGGAAGGAAGGCCUACUUUUGCACGAAUUUCCGUGCAUCAGGCCUCUAGUUUGGGAAUAAUUAUCAAAGUAUCACGAAGCAGAUGUGUGAAGGGGUGAUGGUGGGCUCCUCCCCACUCCCGUGGUUGGCGGGGGGUGAGUGGAAGUCUGGGGAGUCCCCGGUGGUACAGGAGGUGGGCCACCUGCAUUGCCCACGGGAGGAAAUGCCACUUGGCCCUGAGAGGUCCGUCUCUCUGAAAGGGGCCAUUGUUUCCUGUGCAGGUUCCUGGACUCCCUGGGUAGGGACCCCUGUUCUAGAAAACAGGCCGAAAGCUGGUGCAUCAGAAGAGCGUACCAGUAGGAGUAGAAAGUGUGUUUCCCAAACCAGAGGUGUUGUGGAACCCUCCACGGGCACAGGCAGCCAAGCGGCUCUCAGAUACUCCCUGUGCUCGGCCCGCCUCAGUGAAUUCACGUCUCACUGACAGGAGACCGUUAGCGGGAUUGAUGCCCAUCCUCAUGACAGCACCGGGCUGGCAUUCCAGUGACUCCCUGUGACCCUGAGGGCUGGGAGAGGCCUCAGAGCUGCCAGCGGCCGGGGCCCCAGUGUCCAGCGUGUCGCCAGCGUGUUCCUUAUCACUGGCAGCACAGCUCACGACUCCUCGAGCGCCCUGGUGCGGCGUCACAGUGCUAUGCAAACUCUGCUGUGCUCCAACAAGUGUGCAGAGCACGUGCGGCUGCCCCAGUCCAGGCCCCUCUGGGAAUCCCUCUCCCUCCCCCUCACACCCCUCCCCCCACAGGCGCUGUGCCUAGCCUCUGGCUCCCCCUCCCCUGCUUGGUGCACACAUCCCAUUUUCUGCCCCACUUGUUCUGACCUCCUUCCUCCAGGCCCACAGAUGCCCUCCCUGCCCCCUGGAUCGCAGAGCUCACAGCAGGCACCCUGUCCCUGGCAGUCCCUCCCGGAGUCCCUCCUGCAAGUGGGACACAGGAUUUCCAGGCCAGCCCGUCUCACAGAGGGGCAGGGAGGCUCGGAGGGCCACACGGAUUCUACGCAGAAGCCCUUCUGCAGCCCUGAGCCACGCUGCCCAGAUGGCGUGGUCCAGCACAGUGUCGGGCAUCGGGGGCAGCGACUUGGAGGAUAAAUGUGCUGCAGACACUGCUCUGUGCUGGUCUCCGGCACUUCGGUGGAGAGUGAUUAAGGUAGACUGGUCAGACCUCGGGCCCGCGGCCCACCUGGAGGCAGGACUGUGCAGUGGCAGGCGUGGCAGCCCUGCAGGCACUCCGAGGCCGAGCAUUCGCCUUCACCCCUGCAGCCAGUGAACCAUCGCUUCCCCCUGCACCUUCAGGGCACGGCCUGGCCUCUCUCACCCUCCAGGCCCUGUCUGGCCUCUGUCAGCAUGUGGACACCUGGAUCCACACCCACGGGUGCUUGGGGGCGGAGGGGGACUGGCUGCCAAUGCAGGGUCUUGGAAGUGGUCCCUCAUGUGGCCGUAGUAGAGGCUCAGGUCUUGACCCUGAAGUCCCUGUCCCCACCCUUGUACCAGGCGGGCGAGCAGGACUCCAGCCCUGCCCUUGUCCUCUGCUCUCUCAGCUCUGACUUCAGGACAGCAGGCAUCUCAGGAAGGGGCCGGCUGACCUGUCCCCAGUCCCCUGAUGCCGGCCCCCUCGGCGCACCAGGCACCUCUGCACCCAGCUGUGCCCAACUGCAGCCCAAGUCCCAGGCAGGCUCUGCGGGCUUGUCCGGCACAUGCUGGAGGCCCCUGAGACUCCAAUGCCAGGAUGGUGAAGGCGUUUCCUAGGAAACCACAGCCAGCUGCCAGCAGCCUGUCUGUGGGGGGUGGGGUGUGGCUGAAGCUGGCGUAGGCAGGAGACACCCGGGGGAAGGUGUGUGUCGCUGUCUGUGCCUGUGUGGCAGUGGGGGAUGUGCCAGUGGUGUGUCUGUGAGGGGUCUGUGUGUGUGUGUGUGUGUGGGGGGGGGGUUCUCCUCAUGCCUGGGAGUUCAGCAUGGCCGGUCUCGCCUCCCAGCACCAAUCCUACAGUGUCAGUCAGUGGGCAAGGCUCGCUCACCACUCCCCGCCCACCCCUGGCAGAGGCCUGAACCUUCCUGCAAACUCCCCGAUGCCAAACAACAGUGGGCCAGCCGGCAGCGGUCACUGGGGCGGGCAGGCCUGGGCCAGAGGGUGAGGCCGCAGUGGGCUCCCAGCGGGAAGUGAGGCUGCCUCCAUUUGGGGUGUCCUUGAAGCCCACUGCCCUCAGCUUCCUGUGAGCCUCCCUGUCCCUGCCCUGCCUACUCCUGUGAAGCAGGAGUGAGCCGUCUUGGUGACCCCACAGGGGGACCACGCCCCGGCCUCCUGGCCGAGGAGGAGCUGGCUCCCAUCCAAACAUUUCCUGGCUUUAGUCCUGCAGAUCUGGGAGAUGAAGGGCUCCGGGUCACAGUGGGGUCACCGGCUGAACUGUGAGUGGGUGGGUGGGGGUGCAGGUCACACUGGAGGCCCCCUCGGCCCUCCUCCACCUCCCCUCCAUCUGUGUGUAAAUUAUUGGGCAGCGUAAGGUGCCCCUCACUGCCCGGAAGCUUGAGACCCAGCGAGGAGGCGAGACCAGAGCGACCUGCCCCGUGGGCCCCCUCAGAUCCUGGACCAACCUGCACUGGGGUCUGUGGGUGUGCAGGGCUCGUCUGGGAGACCCAGGAGCUCUGGGGGCCCCUCCCCCGGCCUCUGCCAAGGCUCAGGUGGGGUCGGGACACAGCAGGGUUGUGGGGGUGCCCGGCUUCCAUGAGCCAUCAAGGACAGAAUCAUCCUCAGCGCAUGCCCUUUCCAGUCCUGGGACCAUCCACAGAGGCUCAGCGACCCCCAGCCUCCUGGGGCCCCAGCAGAGGGGCCGGCAUUGCUUGUGGGGAGCCCGUUGUCUCUCCUGGGGGCGCUAUGCAGCCCAAGGCAGGGCACAGUCUCACGUUGCCUGGGAACCUGGGAGGCAAUGAGCACCCCCCAAGCCUACCCCUCCCUCCUUCCCUCCCUUCCUCCCAUGUGGACCCAGGAGCAGCCUGUGGACGCAGUCAGUCCUGGAGAGAGAGAUGCAUGUGGGUCCCGUGUAUAGGCUUUUGUCUUUGCUGAUUGGGAUAUGUCUGCUCUAGAGGCAGAUACAAGAAUUCCAGCAUGCAGAACUCACACUUAACAUUUCAAAUAAGCGUGUUUUCUCCUUUAAGUUAACAUUGGGUAAAGACAAACAAGAUGGCAACCCCAUGCUGACUAGAAAGAAUAAGGAAGGUGGAGUCUUCACUAGCAGAGCCUCCACCUGGGGAGAGAGAGGGAGGCAGCUGGGCCUGGUGGCCAAGCAGUGGGGGAGGGGUCCUCACGUCUGCAGGCCUGGGGGCAGGGAGGCUGUGUGCUGGACCGGAGCUGACUGAGCCCUGAGCCACCGCCCGGGGUGGGGUGUGGCAGCCCUGAGGAUGGGCCCUGGGAGGUGUGGCCAGAGGGUCUAGCUGCCUAGCAGCUCCCCCGGAAAGGCCCCAGGUGGAGAUACUAGAUAAGCUGCUGGGACUGGUACAGCCAGCCAGGCCUCCAGGGGACAGACAGCCCACAGCUCCAGGCAGCCAUGCGUUCCCUCUGGGACUCACGGCAGGGCCCACCUCCUUCUCUCACUGCCACCCUUCCUGCCACCCAGCCCCCACCGAAUGGGCUCACAAGUGGGGGUGGCCCUGGCCCUGGUCAGCCUGGGAGUCCAGGCAGUCGAGUGAAGGUGGGCACCAGGGCAAGGCAGGCAGGGGGAGGGGGGACCCCCAGGUCCUGAUCCCCUCCCCAGGAAGGAGGCUGGCUGG